rnacentral:rRNA from 1 species
GCGAAAACUUUACAAUGCUGGCAACAGCGAUAAGGGAACCUCGAGUGCCAGGAUACAAAUCUGGCUGUCGAGAUGCCUAAAAAGCAUUUCAUAGCAAGGGCCGGGCAAGACCGGUGCCAGCCGCCGCGGUAACACCGGCGGCUCGAGUGGUAACCGUUAUUAUUGGGUCUAAAGGGUCUGUAGCCGGCCGGAUAAGUCUCUUGAGAAAUCUGGCAGCUUAACUGUCAGGCUUUCAGGAGAUACUGUCUGGCUCGAGGCCGGGAGAGGUGAGAGGUACUUCAGGGGUAGGUGUGAAAUCUUGUAAUCCUUGAAGGACCACCAGUGGCGAAGGCGUCCCACCAGAACGGACCUGACGGCAAGGGACGAAAGCUAGGGGCACGAACC